UGCAGCAGGCGCGAAACCUUUACACUGCACGACAGUGCGAUAGGGGAACUCCGAGUGCGAGGGCAUAGAGCCCUCGCUUUUCUGUACCGUAAGGUGGUACAGGAAGAAGGGCUGGGCAAGACCGGUGCCAGCCGCCGCGGUAAUACCGGCAGCCCAAGUGAUGGCCGAUAUUAUUGGGCCUAAAGCGUCCGUAGCUGGCCGGACAAGUCCGUUGGGAAAUCCGCACGCUUAACGUGCGGGCGUCCAGCGGAAACUGUCCGGCUUGGGACCGGAAGACCCGAGGGGUACGUCCGGGGUAGGAGUGAAAUCCUGUAAUCUCGAACGGACCACCUGUGGCGAAAGCGCCUCGGGAAGACGGAUCCGACAGUUAGGGAUCAAAUCCCCCGGCUCG
rnacentral:rRNA from 1 species